CAGUCCAAAGUUGAUUGGUGGAUCAAGUGAACUUGGUGCAUCUCCAUUCAAGCUGGAGUACAAUUACCAGCCUGCUUGUUUAGCGCAGUCUCCACAAUCAUACAAGCAAAUGAGCAGCUGGCGACCCAACACACAAAGUUUCUAUCUUCUUAUUUUCUAUACAAGUAGCAGCUGGCGCAGCGGUGGUGUUGAUGAAUGACACCCAAUGCAGAGGCGGCAGUUACCAUAGGGAAGAGGUCAAGAACAUCUAGCUCUUGUGGUGUUCCUCCUCAUUAUUGUCAUCGCCAUCAACAGCAACAAUGACGACCGGCUCAUGAGACAGCUACUAGAGAGGGAGCGAGGAAGGGGGAGACAGAUCUUUCAGGUACAAUGGAUCUCGGUCAAAAAUCACCUAAGGAAAAUAUGUUGUUCUUCUCUACAAGGGUUGCAUGUGGAAUUUGAGGAGAAUCUGUGCACCAGCAUCCGACUCCUUGAUGUUGCUCUGAUCAUAUUGUGUAAAUAUAUUUCUAAUAAAGCAAUCGCCCGAUGGUGUACAUGUUAUAAAUAACAAGAAUCAUCAAGUGUGAGAGAUGGCAACAUCAUGAUGGGAUGAUGGAUUGACAAGUACCAAAGAUUGAUGCCAAGCAGAACUAAAACCUAUCCAUGGAUUACCUUCAGUCCCGCAUUCCAAUCAACAACAUUGGGCUGAGUGAGCGCGCGGGUGGCGCAAGAGGCAAUGGGCAGCCGGUGGAGACUGAGUGGAGAGCGGCGGUGGCGAGGUCGAGAGGUUGGCACCAGCGGCGAGUAGGCAAUUACCG